GUCCCUUCUGAAACAUCUUAUAAAAUUGGAACGAUACUGAAAAAUUAACAUGGUCUCGGUGCAAAUAUGACACGCACAAAAUCGAAAAUGGUCCAAAUUUUU